ACACUUUGACUAACAUGUUGCUGUGAACAGGACCUGGAAAUGAGCCUGGAGUCCAGUGGUACUAGAAGGAAACCACAGCACAGCUGGAAGAGGCAGAACGUGAGAAAUCCAUGGAUACAGGCAGUCCUGCACAGCAGUACAGUGUGAGCAUGGUGUUGACAUUCCCCACAGUGAAGCGGGCAUCCAGAUGUGCUGGAAAAAGAUCACAUCCCCAUUUUCUAUAAGUCCUACUUCCUGCCUGAUCAUUCUCAUUAGCUGCUCCUUUCCCAAGAGCUCCUUGAGCUACGUACCCCUUCGUCCACCAAUCUCUCCAGGCCUUCUGUCCUUACCUCUUUGGCCCCCACCUGCUGACACCCUGCUGGCAGCCCUCACUGGCUGCUCCAGCUAAUCCUUUCAGCACUGAUGACUGAGUGACUUCCUUAACAUCCCCUGGCUAUAGCAGGACCCAUGGAGCAACCAGAGAGUAAGAAGUACUGCUGAACGGGUGUAGUUGAAAGGUAUCAGUGUACCUGCAUGCAACAUUAACGUUUCCUCCCCACUCUGGAAUAAUUGCUUUUGGUGGAAGUGCCCCCAAGAACAACCAACUGUAGAGCACAAGUCAAACAUAUUUCAGGCCUGACCACCAGCUGCUCGUGCAGCAGGGUGUUUUCUCUUGGCAGUGAGGCCUGUGAGUGUCAGUGAGCAGGAAGGUGCCUCUUGAUCCUGCACACAGCAGGAGGGAUUCCAAUUCAUACCAGCCAGUGGACAUUCUUCCAGGCUUCAUCCUUGAUUUGUAUGAGGUCUCAGCUUGGCCUUUGGAGUCUUGGCAAAAGCAUCUAUGUUCCCUGGGCCCCACAGUGCCUGUUCCCAUCCAGAGUGGGCUUCUCCCCCAGUUACUGUUGGAGCCAUUAUUUCACUUAUAUGUUACACAGACAGUUUAGUCUCGAACACAUUCCUAAGUAAAAGGAUCAGCCACCCCAAGAAAGAGCAGAGGGCAGGAUAUAGUCAGACACUUUCUCAGUGUUUUUUUAAGUGCUUGUGUGUAAUGGAGUUGAACCUAUUCAUCUGCUAAGUCCAGAAAAGUGGAAUAGAAUUUGUGAUUCUGAUAGACUGGGAAGAGCAUUCCCUGAGGGAUUUGCAGCAUGCCAGUGUUGUUAUCAGCCAUGCUGCCAGGCUUAGCAGAACAUGCUUGUAGAGAUCAUUGUGUCCUGUGAAUGACCAGUGGAUAGUGUGACAUGGAAGAUGCGGCCUCAAGCUGGUUUGUACCAAAGCAGACUUGACAAAGAAUGCUGGUUUCUGAAGUGGCAGCUACAGCAGAAACGAGAUGUUAGUUUGUCAUCAAAACAUCCAUAUCCUUCCAGAGUCCAUGAUUUGUUUCACACAGUGGAUUUCUUGUCACAGCAUUAAUGGGUGUUGUCUCCCACGGGUGGGGCUUUGUGGCACUUCAUAGGUGAAAAAAUAAAGUCCUUGUAAACUUUGAUUUAAGUAACCAGUUGGGUUGCAUUUGCUCAGCACUGAACCAAGGAAGGAGCUUAGAGAUGAAGCAAAAUAAUUUUCAUUAUGAGCAGAGGCAAGAUAUGUUUGAAAACACCCAAGGCAAGAAGUGCAGCUUCCAAAUGGUGCUGUCAGUUAUGCUACAGUUAUUUGUUAUGCGUGCUGAGAGAGAUGUCAUCGAACCUCAUGGGCAGCGUGACAGAGAAUGCCUACAAGUUCAACAGUGUUUCUGCUUCCCUCUGUGUAAAAGGAGACCUCCCAGGAAUGCUGGCCCCAACCAAACAGAAGUGCUGGCACACUAAUCCUUCGGAGAAAAACUCCUCUUCCCUGCCUUUGUGCUGAACCACAGCUGAUUGCUUGCUCAAACCUGGAUAUGUGAUUGACCUUACAUGGCUUGCUGCAGCCCAAGCUCCACUGAGCAUCUCACUGGAGAAGAACCAGAUCAGCUAACCAGACAGCACUCCAGAGAGAAAUUUUAAAUUUGAAACAUACUGUGGAAAACGGAUUGAAAAUUCCAGCUGACAGAAGCAAUCCCUUCUAGAUAAAUAGGAUUUUACUGUUUAUGCAUCAGCAUGGCAUUGGAAAAAUGCAGAUGGAUAGUGACUCAAGGUGGAUAACAAGAUGCAUUGCCAGCAGAUGAAGAUUAAAAGCAUUAUGAAGAUUAUGAAGAUUAUGAAGAUUAUGAAGAUUAAAACAUUAAAAGUAAAUGUUAACUUUCAUGACUCCAAGUGAACUACUGAUACCCCUCUCAUCAUGAAGCCUAUAAAACUCACAGGAUACAGCUAAUAGCCCCUUCUGCUGAGCCCUGAGAUGCUGGAGAAUGUUCAGAGCUACUCAGCUUCUGCUAGGACAUUCCAAGAGGAGUCUUUGUGCCCUUGGAUCCUUAAUGAACAGACUGACAAUGAAUGUGUAGCCUCAUACCCCUGAGUAAAAUCGGACCUCUCAGGAAUGCUGGCAUGAGACAAGAAGAAAUGCCGGAAUACUAAUUCUCUGGUGCAAAGCUCCUCAUCCCGACAUUUCUGCUAAGAUGUGGCUGAGCAAUGGACAUUGGAGAUGCAAAUGUCACAGCGAACUGUAUCUGGGCAGUGGGUGCUGUUUGAGGAGACAUUCAGAAUGCCAUUUUCAUCAGAUGACAAAGCAGGCGAACAGCUCCAGUUACAAAGCAGCACUGUGCUGACCUCCGGGAGCUGCUGGUAUGAGAAGGUGGUGGUGUCUACUCUGCUGGAGCUGUAAGAGCACUGUCAUAAAACCCUAACAGGAAGGCUCAGAGCCUGGAGUCCAGUGGUACUAGAAGGAAACCACAGCACAGCUGGAAGAGGCAGAAUGUGAGAAAUCCAUGGAUACAGGCAGUCCUGCACAGCAGUACAGUGUGAGCAUGGUGUUGACAUUCCCCACAGUGAAGAGGGCAUCCAGACAUGCCAUCCAGACAUGAAAACAGAUUACACUCCAUUUUCUGAAAGUUCCUAUAAAAUAUUCUGAGUUGGAAAGACUACACAAGAAUGAUCAAGUCCAACUCCUGUCUGCACAUAGGACUACCUAAAAAUUAAACCAUAAUUCUGAGAGUGUUUAAAUGCCCAUCUAGUAUGGCAGCAGCAGAGGUCUAACCAUGGCCACGUAAGGUGUCUGACUGGCUCCAGAGCCUCUCGUUUGUUCGCAUGCUAUUUUCACAAGACAAAAAAUUCCUGAUGCUGCAAUGGACUUAUGCCAUGAAGGACUGGAUCUUUCCUCCAGAAGGCAUUCACUGUGGCCCUGAGUCUUUCACUACUGCAUCACAGUUCUCGGAAUACACAGUACUUUGCCUUGACAUCUCCAAUUUCUUGAAAAGCAAAGGAAAAUUCACACAGCAGAGGGGGAAAAAAAGCAAAAAACAAAACAAAAAAACAUAAACAAAUUUUGUUCUACUUUCCCUUGAAAUUAUGUUGUUCAAUCCCUUUUUCAUGCUGAAACAUCUAUAACUCUAAUUAUUUCUCAGCACCAAAAUAACUCAUGUCUGACAGACACUCAGAGGCCUUACGAAACACAAACAUGCUGCCCUACAAACACCAACUCUUGGCUAUCAUAGAAUCACAGAAUUUCUAUGUUAUGAUAUUGACUUUCCUUGUCUUGUGUUCAGAGAGCAUGAAUAGAGGAGAUAGAGGCACUCAUGAGAACUGUUGAAGUGUGACAGUGGAGCACGAUCAAGAACUCUUGAGUUUGUGGCUCAGUACAAACUACACUCUCAUCUCUGCAUCUUGGAGCAACAACAACAUCAACCUUGUAGCCUGUUUAGUUAGAAAGAAAUUCCACAUCCAAUAUCUCCAUGUAAUUACCAUGGAACCAUCUGCAGACCUUCUGUUUAAAUCCUCUGCUCCUUCUACCCUGGGCUGCUCUGAACAUGACCUCCUGGACAGUUGCACUGACAUAAGAAGUUGCCACUGACCUGGCCUCCAUUUCAAAUGGAUUGAUCUUUUCUACCUAGAGAGGAUCAAAUAAAGUCAGUCCUGGCAGACCGUAGGAGAAUCACCUAGGAAAGUUUAAGAAUGGAUCUUCUUGGGAGUCAGUAUGCGUGAUGGAAGAUUUAACCUUGGCAGCUGGUGAAUUCCAGUACCAAAAAGUACCUGAUAAUGAGUUGUCAUCUCUCUGAAGAAGCACAGCAUAACUAUCACUAUCACACAGUUCAUGCUCUCAUGAGAGCAUUGGGUACCUUUGUUAUUGUCUCUAGAUUCUGUUAGUUAAACACUCAUCCUAGAGCAGCUGCACAAUGGACUUCAUAGACAUUUAGAGGAGGUGUGCUCAAAUCAGAUGGGUAUCCAGUAAAUGGAUGCCAAAAAACAGGACACUCUGAUACAUGAAUCUUCUUCACCAAAUGGAGGAUGCUUUUAAAAAGAUAUUUAGUUGUUUCCUUUGUACUGGGAUCCACAGGCUCUCCCACGCUCUGUCAUGAAGCUUUUUGUGAUCCUGAUCAGCACCAGCUCCUUUUACUUGACUGCAAAUUUGAAGAGAACACAUUCACAUGAAAGAUUAGCAGAAGAUCUCAAGAUGGCACCAAUCUCACCCUGCCCGUUCAAUGUCAUGCCACCAGCAGUUUCACCUGGAAAGAUGCUUGGUUAAUUCUGCUCAUAUCAAAAAGGAGCUCAGUGUAGGAGAAGCAGGAAAGCCAAGAGUGCCUACGGAUAGCAGCCUGCAGCAGACCAGUUGCCGCUUUAGUUCUUCAAUCUGUUGCGUGAAGGCCUGUUUCCCUCUGGACAGCUGAGAAAUUAAACCAUCUUUUUCGUCCGCCUGGCACUCUGCGCUCUUCAGCAGCGGCUUGAUCUUAAAGAACAGCUUCAUCCAGGGCCAGUGCUUGACAUUCAUGAAUGCACGAAUGUUGUACUGGAUGCAGAAGACAGACUCUCUAAAAGGACUCUGUUGGGAAAUCCUUUCCUGCAAAUUCUGAUCCCUUCCAGCACACCAUUACACCUCAGUUGGUGCAGAACCAGCUCAUGCUCCAUGGCACCUAGCAAUUCAGAGUAUAAAUGAGUGCUGUAUUCUGUAGCGCAGCAGAGAAGAGAUACUGAAGGUUGUCUGUGGAUGUGACUGUGGUACUUCCCACAUUCUGCCAAGUCCUUCGGCAAGAGGAGUCAUCACUGGGAAAACUGGAGAUGCGGUUCUCCAGCAGAGAGGAAACAAAUGCACCUUUCACAACAGAGUUCCCUGAGUACCUGACAGUCUUGACAGUGACCUUCCCUGUUUCCCUGCUCUGGAUUGUCCCUUUCACAAAGGAUUCCUUUGGAUGGGCCACAAAGACUGAUGACUUGGCAUCAAAAGGCUUGUUCUGGGCCUCGAUUCUUUCCUUCUCUGACUUUCGGAGGUAGGGAGCUGCCUCUCCAAAGACAGCCAUCUCAGCAUCUGAAGAAGCCAUGGCUGCUCUUCACUGAAGAUACCUCAGCAGAAUACUCUAAUGGGGAGAAGUAAUGUGGCACAGAUCAUUUAGAUAUAUUCUGUAAGACUGGGAGACUGACUGUGUCUUUGUUUUUCUUCAACCGGUACUAUAUGGAGUAGCUAACGUAUCCUACUGGAAGAUAUGAUUGACUUAGGAAACAAGAGGUCAUAACUGAUGCAGUCUAGGUGUCUAGACUUCUAGAAGAGCAACAUCUGAUCACCUUUCACAAUUGUAGGCUUGGGGCUUUAAGAACAUCGUGUCUGUAAGAUGAGUGAAGUAGCUGAGCAAGAUUUAUUUUAAGACAUCAUUACUAGCAGUUGAAAUAAAGGUGGAGCAUUUUGUUUAAAGAUGGAGAAACAUUUCUAAAAACAUGUAGUAUAAAAGAACUACAAUCUUGAAAAACAUUGAAUCUAUGGGGCAUUUACUUAUCAACUAUAAUCGUAACAGGAAGGCAGUGGAAAUUAAUGAAUUUUGCUACUGAAGUUGCCAGCAGAAAGAAAAGGGCAGGAUCUGUGACCUUUUAAUACUCUGCUGUAAUUUAAUUUGUUUAUACAUUUGUCAUUCAUGAGUACAAUAUCCAAAUAGUCUCAUCUUCAAAGUUCUGACUUGUAUGAAACAAAAUUCAUGUGCUGAAUUUGGAAUUGCCAUGCCUGUAUGGAGCUCCCAAAUAAAUACUUACUGAAAAGAUCCAGGAACAGAUCUACUGCUGCAGUGAUGUGAAGCCAGCACGCCUCACUCCCUGUUUGGUCAGUUAAGCAGAAAUGAAGAGCAUUCCAAUGGGAAUUUCCUCGUCUGCCAUUGGAGGCAGGGAGAUACAAACACAGCCAUUUGAAAACCUUGCCAGCCAUGAGCACCCCACCACCUGCCUACUGUAAUCACACCAGCUUUGAAUGCAGGGUGAAAAAGGUGAUUGUUCAUCCAUCCAGAAAUCCCACCCAAAAGCAUGAAUAAAUCAGGUUCUUACCUCUUGUGACACCAGAUGGGUGGCUUGCAGCCUGGCAGCUGGUCAGUGCUGUAAAACAGAAAUGGCAAGUCCCUACUUGCAGCUGCACAGAAUUCCAGAGUGAAAAUGUGCAGGUGUCUUGAAAGCAGAUUAAAAACUCGAGCUGAGGAAUUGAGCCUCCUCUUGGAAAUGAGCACUGGAGGCAGAGGAAUGCUGUAACACAGAAAGACUCCUGCACGGCUGCAGAUCCCAUCCACUUACCUUGAAGCUUUCCGUGGAGACAGGGCAGUCUUGCUGCAGGGACAUUUUAUACGAUCUCAUCUGCAGAUGCUACAGAUGCCUACUCUUUCUUCGGUCAAAAAAUUUUUGGCAAGCCUUCUUUGGUAAAGCAUUGUCUGGCAAACUGAACUAAGGGCAUAAUUGUCAUUUGACAUGACUAGAUAUAAUUAGAAAAUUUUGAUGUCUUACCGACUAUAUGAAUACAUCUCCUAUAAACAAUUUGACAAGGGUGUUAAGGAGGGAAUCUGGACUAGUCAAGGCACUUAGAGAACUUGGAUGCAGGACUUAUGGAUUCUAUUGCUGGCUUUCCCACCGACUCACUGUAUGACCCAGGGUGGAUCGCUUGGUCUGGACUCUUCUGGGACUAGAAGCAAAGCACCAGCAGUCUUUUAGGGACAGAUGUUUCUCUCCAAGUCUCUUGUCACAAAGUACGCGAGAAGAUCUGAAUUUAUGCAAAAGGAGAAGUGAACACUGAGUCCAAAGGAAGAGAGAAAGUUGCUUAACAUCUCAAAGAGGACAAUGGCCUGAGAAAAGCUUAUUAUUUUUUUCAGCAACAAGAGCCACAUUACGGUGCAUUUUGUGACUCACAUCACAUGUCAUGCACUGGGACCCCCAUUCAGUGUUUGAUGUCAGCAUGAGCUGCUCUUACUCCACCAGGCUGAGAGGGACAUGGCUCUCUGCAGUGUUGCCAGCCCUGCAGGAAGCUUGGAACAAGUACUGCUGCCUUCCUCACCACGGGAAGGCAUUCACGGAUUUGGGUUCUCAUUCUGAGCAGCAAAAAGUGAGCUUUCACAUGCACAGACUUUGCUUCUCAUUGUCGAUGUCAAGAGAAGUGAUGUCUUCACCUGUUCCAAGCUGAUUCCCAGCUGAACACCGACAGUUCCUGUGCAGCUGCCAUGCUCCUGGUGGCACAGCACAUCCCAGCAGAGCAGGGCAAGCACCCAGGCACUGCGCUCACACACUGCCAUUCCACCGGCUGCAGAGGGGCCUCUCCGGCCUGCUUCUGACUGUUAACAUUGCAGCUGAGAAAGGAGCUGUGCCGGACGGAGCAAGACUUUCAGGGAUAAGAAUAGCACCUGCCAUCUUAGGACACAGCGCAGUUGUCCAGCUCCUGCACGGCAACACGUUGCAGUGAGAUAUAGAAGGCAAGCUACCCGCUGAGGAAUGUCUUCGAGUGCUAUUCGUGGAGGCGUAUCAUCUACAGCAGCAGGCCCGGCCCCACGCAGGAGCCUUGCAAGAGGGGUUAUUUUGAGCCUUGGGCACUGAGGAUGAAGGGAGACAAAUGACAGUGAUCCUCCUCCUGGCACAGGCAACCUCCAGAGCUCUGUGCACAACUGCCACAGCCUGUCACUGCUUCAGGGGAUGAUUCUUGUGAAGCAGUUGGGCGAUGUGGUGGGACCUGAGAGCCCAGGAGAUGAGGGCCAGGAGGGAGCUGAGAAUUCGCUGGGGACACGGGGGCAGGCCUCAGGCCCACCUGUCCUGCAGCUCAGGCGCUCCACUGCCUGCUUUGUUUUUGACCACAUCCCUAAAGCAUCGGCAUGUAACUUUGUGCAGGUGAACACCGUGAUCAGAGGAGACACCGUUAGACUUAUGAUUUGAUAGCUGCUUCAUCUUCAGAGAAUUACCUGCCCUUUCAUAUCAGUGCUUUUGGUGCUGUCUCUUUUUUAUGUUUUAAUACAAAAUAUUUAAAAAAUAA